UACGUAGGGUGCAAGCGUUAAUCGGAAUUACUGGGCGUAAAGCGUGCGCAGGCGGUUUUUCAAGACAGAUGUGAAAUCCCCGGGCUCAACCUGGGAAUUGCGUUGGAGACUGCAAGGCUAGAAUCUGGCAGAGGGGGAUAGAAUUCCACGUGUAGCAGUGAAAUGCGUAGAGAUGUGGAGGAACACCGAUGGCGAAGGCAGCCCCCUGGGUCAAGAUUGACGCUCAUGCACGAAAGCGUGGGGAGCAAACAGG
rnacentral:rRNA from 1 species